rnacentral:tRNA from 1 species
GGUGGGUUGGCUCAGUGGUUAGAGCGUAGGUCUCGUAACCGAAACGUUGCGGGAUCGAAUCCCGCUAGAGGCUG